rnacentral:rRNA from 1 species
AACAGGAUUAGAUACCCUGGUAGUCCACGCUGUAAACGAUGUCGACUUGGAGGUUGUUCCCUUGAGGAGUGGCUUCCGGAGCUAACGCGUUAAGUCGACCGCCUGGGGAGUACGGCCGCAAGGUUAAAACUCAAAUGAAUUGACGGGGGCCCGCACAAGCGGUGGAGCAUGUGGUUUAAUUCGAUGCAACGCGAAGAACCUUACCUACUCUUGACAUCCAGAGAACUUAGCAGAGAUGCUUUGGUGCCUUCGGGAACUCUGAGACAGGUGCUGCAUGGCUGUCGUCAGCUCGUGUUGUGAAAUGUUGGGUUAAGUCCCGCAACGAGCGCAACCCUUAUCCUUUGUUGCCAGCGGUCCGGCCGGGAACUCAAAGGAGACUGCCAGUGAUAAACUGGAGGAAGGUGGGGAUGACGUCAAGUCAUCAUGGCCCUUACGAGUAGGGCUACACACGUGCUACAAUGGCAUAUACAAAGAGAAGCGACCUCGCGAGAGCAAGCGGACCUCAUAAAGUAUGUCGUAGUCCGGAUUGGAGUCUGCAACUCGACUCCAUGAAGUCGGGAUCGCUAGUAAUCGUGGAUCAGAAUGCCACGGUGGAUACGUUCCCGGGCCUUGUACACACCGCCCGUCACACCUUGGGAGUGGGUCGCAAAAGAAGUAGGUAGCUUAACCUUCGGGAGGGCGCUUACCACUUUGUGAUUCAUGACUGGGGUGAAGUCGUAACAAGGUAACC